rnacentral:lncRNA from 1 species
CUUUGUCCUACACACAAAUUUGUUGUUCAAAUGUCUGUAUUUUGCCAUUGCACUCUUACUUAAGACCAUUACAGAACUAUCAUGUUUAUAUUGCGGAAGCGAAACCCGGAAGUCUUUAUUAUACCCAAACAUAACAGGGAUACCGGACGAAGUCUUGUUAAGCAGAUACCGAACAUUUUCAAUGAUCACAUAGUUGUCGUCUGUAGCAAUUAAUGUCCAGUCAGACUCAUUUCCAUAUGUAUCAUAAAUCUUUGAAAUUGCUUCUUGGUAUUGUGAUCU